rnacentral:misc_RNA from 1 species
CCAAUAGCGUAUAUUAAAGUUGUUGCAGUUAAAAAGCUCGUAGUUGAAUUUCGGGGUUAGUAAGUUGGUCGUGCCACUGGUAUGUACUGGCUUUACUGAUUCCUCCUUCUUGUAGAACCGUAAUGCCAUUAAGUUGGUGUUGCGGGGAAACAGGACUGUUACUUUGAAAAAAUUAGAGUGUUUAAAGCAAGCUAACGCUUGAAUACAUUAGCAUGGAAUAAUGAAAUAGGACGUUCGAUCCUAUUUUGUUGGUUUCUAGGAUUGACGUAAUGAUUAAUAGGGAUAGUUGGGGGCAUUAGUAUUCAAUUGUCAGAGGUGAAAUUCUUGGAUUUAUUGAAGACUAACUACUGCGAAAGCAGUUGCCAAGGAUGUUUUCAUUAAUCAAGAACGAAAGUUAGGGGAUCGAAGACGAUCAGAUACCGUCGUAGUCUUAACCAUAAACUAUGCCGACUAGGGAUCGGAUGAUGUUAAUUUUAUAAUGACUCAUUCGGCGCCUUACG